AUUGAACGCUGGCGGCAUGCUUUACACAUGCAAGUCGAACGGUAACAGGCCGCAAGGUGCUGACGAGUGGCGAACGGGUGAGUAAUGCAUCGGAACGUGCCCAGUCGUGGGGGAUAACUACUCGAAAGAGUAGCUAAUACCGCAUACGAUCUAUGGAUGAAAGCGGGGGACCGUAAGGCCUUGCGCGAUUGGAGCGGCCGAUGUCAGAUUAGGUAGUUGGUGGGGUAAAGGCUCACCAAGCCAACGAUCUGUAGCUGGUCUGAGAGGACGACCAGCCACACUGGGACUGAGACACGGCCCAGACUCCUACGGGAGGCAGCAGUGGGGAAUUUUGGACAAUGGGCGCAAGCCUGAUCCAGCAAUGCCGCGUGCAGGAAGAAGGCCUUCGGGUUGUAAACUGCUUUUGUACGGAACGAAACGGCUCUGGUUAAUACCCGGGGCUAAUGACGGUACCGUAAGAAUAAGCACCGGCUAACUACGUG
rnacentral:rRNA from 1 species